AGCGGUAUCGUCUAGUGGUUAGGACGAGAGAUUCUCAUUCUCUAAACAGGGGUUCAAUUCCCCUUACCGCCGCCA
rnacentral:tRNA from 10 species